rnacentral:misc_RNA from 1 species
GAAAUGCGAUACGUAGUGUGAAUUGCAGAAUUCAGUGAAUCAUCGAAUCUUUGAACGCACAUUGCGCCCUUUGGUAUUCCAAAGGGCAUGCCUGUUCGAGCGUCAUUUGUACCCUCAAGCUUUGCUUGGUGUUGGGCGUUUUUUGUCUUUGGCUCGCCCAAAGACUCGCCUUAAAACGAUUGGCAGCCGGCCUACUGGUUUCGCAGCACAGCACAUUUUUGCGCUUGCAAUCAGCAAAAGAGGACGGCAAUCCAUCAAGACUCCUUCUCACGUUUGACCUCGGAUCAGGUAGGGAUACCCGCUGAACUUAAGC